GACGAGGGGUCCUAGCGUUGUUCGGAAUCAUUGGGCGUAAAGCGUGUGUAGGUUGUUUUGCAAGUCAGGUGUGAAAGCCCCGGGCUCAACCUGGGAAUUGCAUUUGAGACUGCAUAGCUAGGGUGCGGAAGAGGGAAGCGGAAUUUCCGGUGUAGCGGUGAAAUGCGUAGAUAUCGGAAGGAACAUCAGUGGCGAAAGCGGCUUCCUGGUCCAGCACCGACGUUCAGGCACGAAAGCGUGGGGAGCAA
rnacentral:rRNA from 1 species